rnacentral:lncRNA from 1 species
CUCACAGCCUAUCACGGUGCGUGGAAACGACAGUCUGUAGGCCUAUGAUAUGAAACAUCCCACUCACGGAACCUCCAAAAGGCACACACGGAACCACUCCCUUGCUUGCGGAUGCCAUUAGAGCGUGUGUGGUGGACUGCAAGGACACUGCAGAAAUUCAGCUUCACGUCAUAUUUAAUUUAGCCCUUUUCAGACACAGCUUUGCUUUCUAUCACUGCAAGAGAGAGCAGCCCAAACGCCCUCCAAGAGAACUCAGGUGCUAGAAGGAGCGGCCGAGAAACAGAACGCUGGCCAGCUGCUGUAAAGUGAAGCGAGCAGUUUCCAUUUUGACGUAAGGAAACAAAUGUAACAGGCUUCGUGACUUUGCCUCAGUCAAAGAUCUCCUCUCAGAACAUUAAGUGGAACCCUUUUUAAUUAAACAUUGAAUACUUUGGAGCGAGAGAUGCUGCAAUCUAGGCAAAAUAAAACACGCAUAGAUUUUGAAAGCUUAAGCAAGGCCUUUAUCCCACUGGUGCUGUUUCCAACAGUGUUCCUUGUUCUUUGUGCUUCUGAGGUCCCUAGAUGGUGGGAUUUACAGUGAGUCUUAAGUUUCAAGGAGGUACAGGGACCAGGUCUUAAGCAGCAUUAAUUCACAUAGUGAAAAAGUUAUUCAGCCUUCAAUUCAAGCAGGGCCUCAUUUGCUCACAGUGAUUCAGAACCAUCUUCAUAAAAAGCCGCCUUGGAUGCUCUGACAGACCCAGUUGACCAGCCCCAUACGGCUAUUAUCCUAGUCCAGCUUGCCUCCUGGUGGCAGUGUCUCUAAAUUGCAGGCUCCAUUUCACAGAUGAGGAAACUGAGGCUCAGUUGAGCGAAGUUAUGUCUUAUCUGGAAGUGAGCCGUCCACACGGCCAGUUUCACAAACCCGAAGUCAGCGAUGGUGCAGGGAGGCAGGAACCACAGUCUCUGCGAAUGCAGAAGCUGCAGCAAAUGCAGAGGAAAACCCAAAUGCAGCUCAAGAAACCUGGGGAAAAAGAUAAAGAUGCUUUGGU